AGUCAGAUGUGAAAGCCCGGGGCUCAACCUCGGGAAUUGCAUUUGAAACUGGCAGACUAGAGUACUGUAGAGGGGGGUAGAAUUUCAGGUGUAGCGGUGAAAUGCGUAGAGAUCUGAAGGAAUACCGGUGGCGAAGGCGGCCCCCUGGACAGAUACUGACACUCAGAUGCGAAAGCGUGGGGAGCAAACAGGAUUAGAUACCCUGGUAGUCCACGCCGUAAACGAUGUCUACUUGGAGGUUGUGGCCUUGAGCCGUGGCUUUCGGAGCUAACGCGUUAAGUAGACCGCCUGGGGAGUACGGUCGCAAGAUUAAAACUCAAAUGAAUUGACGGGGGCCCGCACAAGCGGUGGAGCAUGUGGUUUAAUUCGAUGCAACGCGAAGAACCUUACCUACUCUUGACAUCCUCAGAAGAGACUGGAGACAGUCUUGUGCCUUCGGGAACUGAGAGACAGGUGCUGCAUGGCUGUCGUCAGCUCGUGUUGUGAAAUGUUGGGUUAAGUCCCGCAACGAGCGCAACCCUUAUCCUUGUUUGCCAGCACUUCGGGUGGGAACUCCAGGGAGACUGCCGGUGAUAAACCGGAGGAAGGUGGGGACGACGUCAAGUCAUCAUGGCCCUUACGAGUAGGGCUACACACGUGCUACAAUGGCGCAUACAGAGGGCGGCCAACUUGCGAAAGUGAGCGAAUCCCAAAAAGUGCGUCGUAGUCCGGAUCGGAGUCUGCAACUCGACUCCGUGAAGUCGGAAUCGCUAGUAAUCGUGGAUCAGAAUGCCACGGUGAAUACGUUCCCGGGCCUUGUACACACCGCCCGUCACACCAUGGGAGUGGGCUGCAAAAGAAGUGGGUAGUUUAACCUUCGGGAGGACGCUC
rnacentral:rRNA from 1 species